CCCUUAGAUGAUUUGGGCUGCACGCGCGCUACACUGACCCUAACAUUGAGCAACUGUCUGGCCUGAGAUGGCUGGGUAGCCUUUUCAACCCAUGUCAUGAUUGGGCUAGAUUUUUGUAAGUCUUGAUCUCUAACGAGGAAUCCCUAGUAUGCGUGAAUCAUCAAUCCAUGCAGAUUAUGUCCCUGCCCUUUGUACACACCGCCCGUCGCUCCUACUGAUUGGGUGAUCCGGUGAGCUGUUCGGCCAUAGCAAUGUUUCUUGAGCAGGGCAAUGAAUGUUUCGCAAACCUUGCCACUUAGAGGAAGGAGAAGUCGUAACA
rnacentral:rRNA from 1 species